UUUUGAAAGAUGGUUUCGGCUAUCGCUUACAGAUGGGCCCGCGGUGCAUUAGCUAGUUGGUAGGGUAAUGGCCUACCAAGGCAACGAUGCAUAGCCGACCUGAGAGGGUGAUCGGCCACACUGGGACUGAGACACGGCCCAGACUCCUACGGGAGGCAGCAGUAGGGAAUCUUCCGCAAUGGACGAAAGUCUGACGGAGCAACGCCGCGUGUAUGAAGAAGGUUUUCGGAUCGUAAAGUACUGUUGUUAGAGAAGAACAAGGAUAAGAGUAACUGCUUGUCCCUUGACGGUAUCUAACCAGAAAGCCACGGCUAACUACGUGCCAGCAGCCGCGGUAAUACGUAGGUGGCAAGCGUUGUCCGGAUUUAUUGGGCGUAAAGCGCGCGCAGGCGGUCUUUUAAGUCUGAUGUGAAAGCCCCCGGCUUAACCGGGGAGGGUCAUUGGAAACUGGAAGACUGGAGUGCAGAAGAGGAGAGUGGAAUUCCACGUGUAGCGGUGAAAUGCGUAGAUAUGUGGAGGAACACCAGUGGCGAAGGCGACUCUCUGGUCUGUAACUGACGCUGAGGCGCGAAAGCGUGGGGAGCAAACAGGAUU
rnacentral:rRNA from 1 species